AUUGAACGCUGGCGGCAGGCCUAACACAUGCAAGUCGAACGAGUGGCGGACGGGUGAGUAAUGUCUGGUAAACUGCCUGAUGGAGGGGGAUAACUACUGGAAACGGUAGCUUAUACCGCAUACCCUCGGAUUAGCCCAGAUGGGAUUAGCUAGUAGGUGGGGUAAAGGCUCACCUAGGCGACGAUCCCUAGCUGGUCGGAGAGGAUGACCAGCAACACUGGAACUGAGAAACGGUCCAGACUCCUACGGGAGGCAGCAGUGGGGAAUAUUGGACAAGGGGCGAAAGCCUGAGGCAGCCAUGCCGCGUGUAUGAAGAAGGCCUUCGGGUUGUAAAGUACUUUCAGCGGGGAGGCGUUACCCGCAGAAGAAGCACCGGCUAACUCCGUGCCAGCAGCCGCGGUAAUUC
rnacentral:rRNA from 1 species